rfam:Ixodes scapularis strain Wikel colony gcontig_1108378799510, whole genome shotgun sequence.
GCAGUCGUGAACGAGUGGUUAAGGCGAUGGACUAGAACUCCACUGCGGUCUCCCCGCACUGGUUCGAAUCCUGUCGACUGUG